rnacentral:tRNA from 1 species
CGCGGGGUGGAGCAGCCUGGUAGCCCGUCGGGCUCAUAACCCGAAGGUCGUCGGUUCAAAUCCGGCCCCCGCAACCA